UCCUACGGGAGGCAGCAGUGGGAAUAUUGGACAAUGGGCGCAAGCCUGAUCCAGCAAUACCGCGUGUGUGAAGAAGGCCUUAGGGUUGUAAAGCACUUUCAAUGGGGAGGAAAAACGUCAGGCUAAUACCCUGGCUCUUGACAUUACCCAUACAAGAAGCACCGGCUAACUCCGUGCCAGCAGCCGCGGUAAU
rnacentral:rRNA from 1 species